CCUACGGGAGGCAGCAGUGAGGAAUAUUGGUCAAUGGACGGAAGUCUGAACCAGCCAUGCCGCGUGCAGGAAGACGGCCCUAUGAGUUGUAAACUGCUUUUGUAUGAGGGUAAACCUGAAUAUGUGUACCCACCUGUAUGUACUGUACGAUUAAGGAUCGGCUAACUCCGUGCCAGCAGCCGCGGUAAUACGGAGGAUCCAAGCGUUAUCCGGAUUUAUUGGGUUUAAAGGGUGCGUAGGCGGAUUGUUAAGUUAGUGGUGAAAGGUCACGGCUUAACUGUGGAAGUGCCUCUGAUACUGGUGAUCUAGAGAGUAGAUGCGGUAGGCGGAAUGUGUGGUGUAGCGGUGAAAUGCUUAGAGAUCAUACAGAACACCGAUUGCGAAGGCAGCUUACCAAUCUAUAACUGACGCUGAGGCACGAAAGCGUGGGGAGCAAACAGGAUUAGAUACCCCGGUAGUC
rnacentral:rRNA from 1 species